rnacentral:rRNA from 1 species
UGAACACUUUGAUUAUAUCGAUUAAGAGGUACAUAUAGACGCUGCAAUACAGGUACACAAGAUCAAAGAACAAGAAUAUAUUCUAAUCAGAGAGCAGAAAAGAUCAUAUCACGCACCACACACACCAACGUACAGAAAAGAUCAGAUCAGUCACCACUCCUAAAAACAACUCCCUGUCGACAGCGAUAGUCUGCACCAUGGCGGUCGAGUUCGCGAGGCUGCACUUCAAGCGCCUUCAGAAAUAACAAAUUUGUGAAGAGGCAAAGGAAGGAGGAGCCGCCGCCAGCAGGUGAGGCCGGGAGGCCGCCGCCGGCAAGCCACGAGCCACUGCUCCACUCCUUCUUAGCCGCUGCCCGCAGCAAGCAGUUAUAGUCGCUCAGAUGUGUCCGCGACGGGACGGCCGCUCCUCGUUCUUUGCCUGGAUGUGUGCGCGACGGGAUGGCCAGCUGUGAGGAAGAAAGACGAGCGGGAGGAGAGGCGACGGGGAGAUGAGGGGCAGCCGGCGCUGGGUCGGGGGAGUGGGCGGCGCUGAGAUUUGGAGGGUGCGUGCGAGUUGGGGAGGAGGAAGGGACGCAGGUUCCGCUCGUUCCACGUGGUCCGCUCGAAUCGGAGGUAUGGAUUGGUUCCGCAUAUACAAGGAAUAUUCGUUCGGUGGGAACGGGCUGAUUCCAUUCCAGCGAUGUACCAAACGCCGGAACGAGGCCGAGGUACGGGUCCAACCCAUGCCAUUCCACUUGAUGAUUGAAACCAAACGCCGG